UCAGGUGAUGCUGGCCUUAUAAAAAGUUGGGAAGCAUUCCUUCUUCUAUAUUUUGGAAAAGAAUGGGGAAAAUUGAUACUAUUUUCUACUUUAAAUGCAACAAACCAUCAAGCAACUCAACGAUUUUGCCUCAGCCUAAUUGAUAGUCACCGAAGUCCACCUGAACCAUCAAAUGAAGGGGCCAGAGACACGAAUCCCAGAUUUCUGCAGCAUUUCAGGAGCAGAUGGGCAAGCUGAGGGACUUCCUUCAGAGACCCCAUUCAUCCGAAGUUCAGACAGCCCCAAAAGAAAGUGGUGGGAUAAGAUCGUGAAUGCAAAGAGAUAUGGCAGACCUCCGCCAACCACAGAUAACUGGAGCUAUGGCAUAGUCACAGUGAGCUCAGCAGUGCCUCGUGCCGUGGCAUUCACGCGUGACGGAAAUACACAAUGAUGAUAAUGAAGGGUGGAAAAACUGCGAUCCUACUAUCUCAUCAGACAGCAAUGCUUCAGACGCUCAAUGUUGGGGGUGAGCUGUCCUAGAAGGUAGCUGGGUGUCUCUUGCUGCCUGUGAAACCAUGUUUAUUUUUCUGCAUGUUCUAGAUGGACAACCCUGCCAGCGAUUCCUCUGGUGAACCAGCCAGGGAACCUCACCCCCCA
rnacentral:lncRNA from 1 species